AGAGAGAUGGCAGAGUGGUUUAAUGCGGCGGUCUUGAAAACCGUUGUCCCGCGUAAGCGGGACCGGGGGUUCGAAUCCCUCUCUCUCUA
rnacentral:tRNA from 1 species